rnacentral:rRNA from 1 species
UACGUAGGGGGCGAGCGUUGUCCGGAUUUAUUGGGCGUAAAGAGCGUGUAGGCGGCCAGGUAGGUCUGCUGUGAAAACUCGAGGCUCAACCUCGAGCUGUCGGUGGAAACCACAUGGCUAGAGUCCGGAAAGAGGAGAGUGGAAUUCCUGGUGGUAGCGGUGAAAUGCGCAGAUAUCAGGAAGAACACCAAUGGCGGAGGCAGCUCUCUGGGACGGUACUGACACUGAGACGCGAAAGCGUGGGGAGCGAACAGG